UACGUAGGGUGCGAGCGUUAAUCGGAAUUACUGGGCGUAAAGCGUGCGCAGGCGGUCAGUUAAGUCUGAUGUGAAAGCCCCGGGCUCAACCUGGGAAUGGCAUUGGAAACUGGCUUGCUGGAGUGUGGCAGAGGGGGGUGGAAUUCCGCGUGUAGCAGUGAAAUGCGUAGAUAUCGGAAGGAACAUCAGUGGCGAAAGCGGCUUCCUGGACCAGUACCGACGUUCAGGCACGAAAGCGUGGGGAGCAAACAGG
rnacentral:rRNA from 1 species